rnacentral:lncRNA from 10 species
UCUUUAUUACUCUAGUUAGAGUUCUAUCUAUUUUAAUUUUUUGAAAAAAAAAACAACUGAAUGCAUCUAUCUUUUGAAUGGUUUUUCAUUUCUCAGUCUCCUUCAGUUCAGCUAUGAUUUGGGUUAUUCCUUGUCUUCUGCUAGCUUUGGGGUUGGUUCGCUCUUGGUUUCUCUAGUUCUUUUAGUUGUGAUGUUAGGUGGUUAAAUUGAGGUCUUUCUAACCUUUUGAUGUGGGUGUUUAGUGCUAUAUAUUUCCCUCUUAACACUGCCUAAGCUGUGUUCCAGAGAUUCUGGUAUGUUAUAUCCUUGUUCUCAUUAAUUUCAAAGAACUUCUUGAUUUCUGCCUUAAUUUCAUUAUUUAUCCAAAAGUCACUCAGGAGCAGGUUAUUUAAUUUCCAUGUAAUUGUAUGGUUGGAGUGAUUUUCUUAGUCUUGAUUUCUAAUUUUACUGUGCUGUGUGCUGUGGUCUGAAAGAGUGGUUGGUAUUAUUUCAGUUCUUUUGCAUUUGCUGAGGAUUGUUUUAUGUUCAAUUGUGUGGUCCAUUUUAGAGUAUGUGCCUUGUGGCAAUGAGAAAAAUGUAUAUUCCAUUGGUGUUGGGUGGAAAGUUCUGUAGAUGUCUAUUGGGUUCAUGUGAUUCAGUGCUGAGUUCAGUUCCUGAAUAUCUUUGUUAAUUUUCUACCUUGCUAAUCUGUCUAACACUGUCAGUGGAGUGUUGAAGUUUCCCACUAUUAUUGCAUGGGAGUCUAAGUCUUUUUGCAGGUCUCUAAAAGCUUAUUUUAUGAAUCUGGAUGUUCCUGUGUUGGGUGCAUAUAUAUUUAGGAUAGUUAGAUCUUCGUGUUGAAUUGAACCCUUUACCAUUAUGUAAUGCCCUUGUUUUUUUCUCAUCUUUGUUAAUCUAAAGUCUAUUUUGUCUGAAAUUAGGAUUGCAACCCCGUUUUCUUCUGUUUUUUAUUUGCUUGGUAGAUUUCUUUCUAUCCCUUUAUUUUGGGUGUCAUUGCAUGUGAAGUGGGUCUCUUGAAAACAGCAUAUCACUGGGUCUUGGCCCUUUAUCCACCUUGUCACUCUGUGACUUUUAAUUGGGGCAUUUGGCACAUUUAUAUUCAAGGUUAGUAUUGAUAUGUGUGGGUUUUAUUCUGUUGUCAUGAUGGUAGCUGGUUAUUAUUCAGACUUGUUUGUGCGGUUGCUUUAUAGUGUCACUGGUCUGUGUACUUAAGCACGUUUUUGCAGUGGCUGGUACCAGUCUUCCCUUUCCAUUCUUUGAGGCCAGCAUCAUCUUCAUAACAAAACCUCCAGGAGUUCUACCAGGUCCUCACAGUGAAUAUCAGAGAAAAAUCUUCUCAUGCUUCCACCUCGGGGAGGAGCCAAGAUGGCCGAAUAGGAACAGCUCCGGUCUACAGCUCCCAGCGUGAGCGACGCAGAAGACGGUGAUUUCUGCAUUUCCAUCUGAGGUACCGGGUUCAUCUCACUAGGGAGUGCGAGACAGUGGGCACAGGUCAGUGGGUGCGCGCACCGUGUACGAGCCGAAGCAGGGCGAGGCAUUGCCUCACUUGGGAAGUGCAAGGGGUCAGGGAGUUCCCUUUCCGAGUCAAAGAAAGGGGUGAGGGACGGCACCUGGAAAAUCGGGUCACUCCCACCCGAAUACUGCGCUUUUCCGACGGGCUUAAAAAACGGCACAUCAUGAGAUUAUAUCCCACACCUGGCUCGGAGGGUCCUAUGCCCACGGAGUCUCGCUGAUUGCUAGCACAGCAGUCUGAGAUCAAACUGCAAGGCG